UACGGGGGGGGCAAGCGUUGUUCGGAAUUACUGGGCGUAAAGGGCUCGUAGGCGGCCAACUAAGUCAGACGUGAAAUCCCUCGGCUUAACCGGGGAACUGCCUCUGAUACUGGAUGGCUUGAGAUUGGGAGAGGGAUGCGAAAUUCCAGGUGUAGCGGUGAAAUGCGUAGAUAUCUGGAGGAACACCGGUGGCGAAGGCGGCAUCCUGGACCAACACUGACGCUGAGGAGCGAAAGCCAGGGGAGCAAACGGGG
rnacentral:rRNA from 1 species